AUUGAACGCUGGCGGCAUGCCUUACACAUGCAAGUCGAACGGCAGCAUGGGUGCUUGCACCUGAUGGCGAGUGGCGAACGGGUGAGUAAUGCAUCGGAACGUACCCGGAAGUGGGGGAUAACGUAGCGAAAGUUACGCUAAUACCGCAUAUUCUGUGAGCAGGAAAGCGGGGGAUCGCAAGACCUCGCGCUUCCGGAGCGGCCGAUGUCGGAUUAGCUGGUUGGCGGGGUAAAGGCCCACCAAGGCAACGAUCCGUAGCGGGUCUGAGAGGAUGAUCCGCCACACUGGGACUGAGACACGGCCCAGACUCCCACGGGAGGCAGCAGUGGGGAAUUUUGGACAAUGGGCGCAAGCCUGAUCCAGCCAUGCCGCGUGAGUGAAGAAGGCCUUCGGGUUGUAAAGCUCUUUCGGCUGGGAAGAAAUCGCAUCUCCUAAUACGGGGUGUGGAUGACGGUACCAGCAUAAGAAGCACCGGCUAACUACGUGCCAGCAGCCGCGGUAA
rnacentral:rRNA from 1 species